CUCUGUGGCCAUGCCACUCUGAACAAGCCUGAUUCUGUCUGAUUUCGGAAGCUAAGCAAGGUCAGGCCUGGUUAGAACUUAGAUGAGAGACCACCUAGGAAGACCAGGUGCUGUGACCA
rnacentral:rRNA from 1 species